CUUGUUUCCUCAGGGUCCUUCAUCACAGAAGAAUCCCAGUCAGUCCUCAGCCCAGAGGGGAGGGCCUUUAAAGAAGAUUUCCCUUUCUGCUUUCUGGAUGUAAAUCUUGCUGAAGAGAUAGCACCACACAUCAGAGGACAGGCACAGUGGAUGCAUAACUUUAAAUUGUCAGUGUGCUCCAUGGGAUCUCUCUGCAUAAACUGAAUCUUUAUUGACCAACAUGACCCUGAGAAAAUGAUUAGAAGGAUUCAAGAGGCAUAGUACAGGAAAUAUGAAGAAUUCAGUAAUAUUUGGCCUCAAGUUAUGAGACUGAGUCAGAACUAUAGCCUGGUGAGUGAUUUUUCCUCACAGUUGUUUUAUUACUACAGAGUCUAAUUGCUACCCGAAAUAGAGCACACA
rnacentral:lncRNA from 1 species